rnacentral:rRNA from 1 species
GAUAAACGCUGGCGGUGUGCUUUAUGCAUGCAAGUCGAACGAUCCUUCUUCGGAAGGAUAGUGGCAGACGGGUGAGUAACACGUAAGCAACCUGUCCUCAAGUAAGGAAUAACUCUGAGAAAUCGGAGCUAAUACCUCAUGUGAAUCAUCUCUGCAGGGAGAUGAUUUAAAGGCUUCGGCCGCUUAAGGAGGGGCUUGCGCACGAUUAGCUUGUUGGUGGGGUAACGGCCUACCAAGGCUGCGAUCGUUAGCUGGUUUGAGAGGACGACCAGCCACACUGGAACUGAGACACGGUCCAGACUCCUACGGGAGGCAGCAGCAAGGAAUAUUGGGCAAUGGGCGAAAGCCUGACCCAGCGACACCGCGUGGGGGAAGACGGCCUUCGGGUUGUAAACUCCUUUUAUCAGGGAAGAAUAAUGACGGUACCUGAUGAAUAAGCCCCGGCUAACUACGUGCCAGCAGCCGCGGUAAUACGUAGGGGGCAAGCGUUAUCCGGAUUUACUGGGCGUAAAGCGGGUGUAGGCGGCCUGUCAAGUCCGGUGUGAAAUCUCCCGGCUUAACUGGGAGGGUGCAUUGGAUACUGAUGGGCUAGAGUGCAGCAGAGGAAGGUGGAAUUCCCGGUGUAGUGGUGAAAUGCGUAGAUAUCGGGAAGAACACUAGUGGCGAAGGCGGCCUUCUGGGCUGUAACUGACGCUGAGACCCGAAGGCGUGGGUAGCAAACAGGAUUAGAUACCCUGGUAGUCCACGCAGUAAACGAUGGAUACUAGGUAUGGGGAGUAUCGACCCUCUCCGUGCCGAAGCUAACGCGUUAAGUAUCCCGCCUGAGGACUACGGUCGCAAGACUA